GGGGAUGAUCGGUUUCGACAGUGCGUCUAAGCCGGAAAGAAGCGGGUCGAGGAUGCAGGGUUAUCUCGUAAACGCCCCUUGCAAACCAAUAGGUGCCAACGCAAAG
rnacentral:tmRNA from 1 species